GAUGAACGCUGGCGGCGUGCUUAACACAUGCAAGUCGAACGGAAAGGCCCAAGCUUGCUUGGGUACUCGAGUGGCGAACGGGUGUGUAACACGUGGGUGAUCUGCCCUGCACUUCGGGAUAAGCCUGGGAAACUGGGUCUAAUACCGGAUAGGACGAUGGUUUGGAUGCCAUUGUGGAAAGUUUUUUCGGUGUGGGAUGAGCUCGCGGCCUAUCAGCGUGUUGGUGGGGUAAUGGCCUACCAAGGCGUCGACGGGUAGCCGGCCUGAGAGGGGGUACGGCCACAUUGGGACUGAGAUACGGCCCAGACUCCUACGGGAGGCAGCAGUGGGGAAUAUUGCACAAUGGGCGCAAGCCUGAUGCAGCGACGCCGCGUGGGGGAUGACGGCCUUCGGGUUGUAAACUCCUUUCGCUAGGGACGAAGCGUUUUUGUGACGGUACCUGGAGAAGAAGCACCGGCUAACUACGUG
rnacentral:rRNA from 1 species